rnacentral:rRNA from 1 species
UGCUCAGAUGAACGCUGGCGGCAUGCCUUACACAUGCAAGUCGAACGGCAGCACGGAGCUUGCUCUGGUGGCGAGUGGCGAACGGGUGAGUAAUAUAUCGGAACGUACCCAGGAGUGGGGGAUAACGUAGCGAAAGUUACGCUAAUACCGCAUACGUCCUAAGGGAGAAAGUGGGGGAUCGCAAGACCUCAUGCUCNUGGAGCGGCCGAUAUCUGAUUAGCUAGUUGGUAGGGUAAAAGCCUACCAAGGCAACGAUCAGUAGCUGGUCUGAGAGGACGACCAGCCACACUGGAACUGAGACACGGUCCAGACUCCUACGGGAGGCAGCAGUGGGGAAUUUUGGACAAUGGGCGCAAGCCUGAUCCAGCAAUGCCGCGUGAGUGAAGAAGGCCUUCGGGUUGUAAAGCUCUUUUGUCAGGGAAGAAAAGGGAUGGCUAAUAUCUGGUCCUCAUGACGGUACCUGAAGAAUAAGCACCGG